rnacentral:rRNA from 1 species
CAGCCGCCGCGGUAAUACGUAGGUGGCAAGCGUUGUCCGGAAUUAUUGGGCGUAAAGGGCUCGCAGGCGGUUUCUUAAGUCUGAUGUGAAAGCCCCCGGCUCAACCGGGGAGGGUUAUUGGAAACUGGGAAACUUGAGUGCAGAAGAGGAGAGUGGAAUUCCACGUGUAGCGGUGAAAUGCGUAGAGAUGUGGAGGAACACCAGUGGCGAAGGCGACUCUCUGGUCUGUAACUGACGCUGAGGAGCGAAAGCGUGGGGAGCGAACAGGAUUAGAUACCCGAGUAGUCCCUGUCUCUUAUAC